AUACGUAGGGGGCGAGCGUUGUCCGGAAUUACUGGGCGUAAAGGGUGCGUAGGUGGUUGUUUAAGUCUGUCGUGAAAGCCCUGGGCUCAACCUGGGAAUUGCGAUGGAAACUGGGCGACUAGAGUGUGGCAGAGGGUAGUGGAAUUCCUGGUGUAGCAGUGAAAUGCGUAGAGAUCAGGAGGAACAUCCGUGGCGAAGGCGACUGCCUGGGCCAACACUGACACUGAGGCACGAAAGCGUGGGGAGCAAACAGGAUUAGAUACCCUGGUAGUCCACGCCCUAAACGAUGCGAACUGGAUGUUGGGUGCAAUUUGGCACGCAGUAUCGAAGCUAACGCGUUAAGUUCGCCGCCUGGGGAGUACGGUCGCAAGACUGAA
rnacentral:rRNA from 1 species